UGUUUUAGAAAGAUUCUAGUGCCUAUGUUCUCACCGCUGAGCAAAAGGGAAGAUUGAAGAGUGAAGUUUUGCAGAUGGGUUCCCUAAGAAAGCAAAGACACAUGUGUGUUUUCUUAGUGACGCUCAUAUACUUUUAGUUCACCUUGUGACACCUGUGGCUGCUCUAUAUCAGACAGCAUGUGUCUGGUGGCAGCACCCAAAUGUUAAAAUCCAGCAUGCAAAGCCAAAAUCAUCAACAUGUGAUUUACCAGUGAAUCAGCCUGAAUUUGCUCCCUUCAAGAAGAAUGGUGCCUGUAUGUAAAAAUCACAAAGCAUGCACCGUUGGUGGCACUUGGUGGCUUAUUCAUUAUUCUGUUUGGUAGAUUGGAGAGGCAGAAGAAUAAAAAGAGUUAUUGUUCUCAUUUCCAUGUGAUUUGACUCAGGCAUGUUUAAAGAGUAGCUCUUGUACCAGGGAAAUGAAGAUUUGAUCCUGCACUGCUCUUAAGACACUCAGGAAUCUCUCCGUUACCUCAGAGAAUCUGGCCACAAACAGGACUCAGAGUGGAAAUUGCCCAACCUGUCUGCUAUCACUCUCUUGAAAGAGACAGAUCCGAUCAGCAUCUCUCAACUGUGACUCAUGAGGUAUUUUUGGCUAUGUCAAGAACAUUCUCAAACAAGGGCAGCAAAGGACCAUAAGCAAUUCUCCAAUGGUGAAGAUCGACCCCAGUCAUGUAAAAACACAACAAGUCCUCCCAUUCUGACAGGGCCAUCAAUUACAAAGACAUGACUUGUUAACAUCAGAGAUGGGCACAUGACCAACUGACCAACCAGAAAACCUCAUCCCCUGGGAGAUGGAGGCAACACAUUUCACUUUUGCUUAAGAAGGAUCUUGCAGAAAGUGAAGAAGAGCAGGAAUAGAGAAGACAUUUGAAUGACGACUGAUGUUCUCUUCUUUGGCCUGAGGUUUUAGAACACAUUCACUGCCUGAUCACUGUGGCCCAGAAGCCAUGGCCUCUGCUGAGAGAUAGGGACCCCAUGUUCCCUCUACACAUCUUCUUCCCCAAAGCCUCUCUGAGGCUCCUAUGUUCAAAGAAACAGUCCUCUGGCAAUGGCCUGGUCCUUUCUGCCAUACCAAAGAAAGUUGUUUUUUGUUUUGAGCAAGAGAUCACUUCUGAUUUUCCUACCUUUGACAUGGACCAGACUAAUUGACAAAUUCUAGAAGGACAGACACUUCCAAACGUCUCUUGACAUACUGGCUUCACAAAGGUUAGGAAAGCUGUUAUGGGGAGGACGGAGCCUUUCUCCUCUUCCUGAGAACGUUUGAAGAAGAAAGGGGCUACUGAGAAGUCUGGUAGAUUCAGCAGCUAGUAAAUAUCGUGUCUAAAUGGGCAUCUUUUAUUAAACUCUGAGGCAGGGUUGGUGUGUUAGGCCAUUCUUUCUUGCUAUAAAGAAAUAUCUGAGACUGGGUAACUUAUAAAGAACAGAGGUUUAAUUGGCUCAUGGUUCUGCAGGCUGCACAGAAAGCAUAAUGACAUCUUCUUCUGGCUAGGCCUCUGGAAGCUUCCAAUGAUGGUGGAAGGCGAAGAGGGAACUUGCGCAUCACAUGGCAAAAGCAGGAGCAAGAGAGAGGCGAGGAGGUGCCGCACACUUUUAAAAGACCAGAUCUCAUGAAAACUCACUAUUGUGAGGACAGCACCAAGAGGAUCGUGCUAAAUUAUUCAAGAGAAAUCCUCCCCCAUGAUCCAGUCACCUCCCACCAGGCCCCACCUCCAACAUUGGGGAUUACAUUUCAACAUGAGAUUUGGAUGGAAACACAUUCAAGCUUUAUCAGCCCAGCUCCGGGAGUUCUUAAACUCAUAAGAAUCUAUGAGCUCCCAGAUUUAUGGGCCUUGAAAUAGACUUUGUCUAGAGGGCAGCGUCAGGGAAGCCAGAGAUUCCAAGCACAAGAAAGAUUUGAUGCAGCCUUGGUGACUUGGAGAUGGAAGGGGCCAUGAGGCAAGGAAUGUAGACAACUGUAAGUGUUGAAAGUGGACCUCAGCUGGCAGCCAGUAAGAAAAGAGGAACCUUCAGGCUACAACCUCAAGGGACAGAAUUCAGCCAACAUCCAGAGUAGAAGAACACAUCCCUGAUUAAACGUUACAUCCUGCGAAGACAGACUGUGAAGGCCAGGCCACAAUAGCUGGGGAGACAAUGCAUUUUUUGUUCAGAGCAGCCACCAACAGUGAUGACAAGAGCCAUCAAUGGGCCAAGGUCAAAGAUCAGCAGUCCCUCUGUCACUUCAUUCUUCUUCUGGCUCCCAAUAGAGUCCAUAGGAACUCAAUCUCAGUUCUGAAAUCUAAUCAAAGCUCAUCCACUCAGACCCAAGCCAAGGACACCAAAGAACAAAUUCAUAAGGCAAACAAAGUCUUCACUCAGCCUUCUGCAUUUAGUGAUUGUGGAAAUGUGGUGCAACUGCCAGCUAGAUGAGAGACUUUGGAGGAAAUGGGUGAUUUAAGCCUUGGGAGUGAGGAUUAGCAAGAGAGAUUGAUGAAGAUUCUGGACACAUUUGGGAAGCACCAGAGUGAGAGCGUGCCAUGACUCUCCAGGUGGGCAUCUGAGGAAGCUUAAAAUGAUGAGCCAAAUUAAAAAUAGGAAAUGAGAGCACAGAGGCUGUUUUUGACAAAGUUCCUUACUUCUCUCUGCCUCAUGGAAAACAGGAACAUCAGCCCUUCCUAGACCCGCCCCCCCCAGGCAUGUGUGCGACAUUUGUCCUGGAUGCAGCUAAAAUCCAUCCUUUAUGAUACAGUUUAUUCCUUGAUGCCAUUGUCUGCUAGGAGAUUUCCCGGAUUCUGAAAGUGUGCAAGCAAUACUUUUCAAUUACUGCACAUACACCCUGACACACCAUGUGGCCUUCACCAAUUUGCUGCACAAUCUAUCUUAACAGUAACCACAAAGCAUGCUUCUUGAUAGUAUGGACAAAAUCAUUUCUCUCUUUUGUUGCUUAGGAAUUCUGUUGUAGGCUCAACUUGCUAAACUAGUUGUGCAGAUCAACACAUGAGAGACAGGAGCCUCUCCACUAAAUGAGGGUGGGAAUGAAAGUGAGUAAUGUCUUUGGGGCCCUUGGAAUAGGCCUUUGCUGGUGGAAACCCUGCUCAACAAAGAGAAGAAAGUAUCCAGCACAGGGCUAGGCUUGCAUCAGCAAAGGGAAACCCAGCAACCACAUCAGUGUAAAUGAUUCUGCUAUUCUACCUGGCACCCACUCUUCUUAAUGUGGUAACUUAAUUUGUCUUGGAGAAUAAUUAUGUUUUGAGUGCUAACUAUUGCUAAGCAUUAUGCUCAACACUUUAAAUAAAUGACUUCACUUAAUCCCUACAAUAAUCUUACAAAGCUGAUACGAUCUUGAUUUUGCAGGUGAGAGAAUUGACAUUUGGGCUUAAGAAAUUUUGUUAAAAGCUGGAAUUCAAACACAGGUCUGUGUGAGUUCAAAACCCAUGCCUUCAACCAUAUCAUCAUCAACCUUAGUUUCUAGAAAUACAAAAUCUGCACUCUUUCCUCUGCUGCAGCCUGAGGUAAUUUCUUAGCAGCUAAGGCUGUCACAAAGAACCUCUGCAGGACUGUGGCAGUGGAUUUGGUCACUUUUUAUAGCUCUUGGGAUUCAUUAUGAUAUAUAAUUUUCUUAUUAAAUUUCUAUAAACCUAUAUUGCUUCAAGAUAAAGUUGUUUUCCCCUGUUCUGACCCAUCUUAUGUAUCAUUGCCAGAGGAGUCUCAUAAAGUAUAGCUCAUCUUGUCACUUCUCUGCUCAGAAACCUCCCAAAGCUCCUGGUUGUCCCUGGGGCCACAGUUACUCUUGGAUAUGCAAAGCAGGCUGCACCCUGCCUUUCCAGGAUGACUUUCUAUUCUCUGGUUUUCAACCCUGGGGAUUAAACCAGGCUUUGUGAAUUUCUAGUGCAACCAGGAUUUUAGACUAGAGCUCUGUUCUAAGCACAGUGUGGGUCACUGCAGAAUCUCACUUCAAGAAGGGUCCUGUGGUUUCAUAAAGAUUGGAAAGCACUUCUCUAACUCGACCAUAUUACAAUUCAUUCGACAAUCCCCUGCCUACACCUCUGCUUAAAUUCAUCCUUCACGUAAAUUGAUCUUCCUUACAACACAGUCUUCUGAUAUCUCAUCCAUCCUUCAAGGCCUGGUUGGAACGCUACUGUCUCCAUGAAGCCUUCCUCAGUAACCCAGACAGAAAUCCUUUCCCUCUGCUUUAUGUACUUCCACAGCUCUUUUCUUAAUAUUACUCCUGUAGGACUUGCCACACUAAACCUUGUAGCAUGGAUAUUUGUGCCCAUCUCAUCUCAUCUGACCCACUUGACUUCAGUGUCGUGUCCUGGGGUUGAGCAGGCAGAGAUCAUAUGUCUUCAUUAUGUCUGUGUGUUACCCUAGCAUCUAACACUAUGUCUUGAUCAUGCCAGGAAUUUAAUAAAUAUGCAUUGAUAUAAACUGAAUUAAUAUUGAUUAUUGGGCAUCAUUUCAAAAAAUGGCUUUGGUAAGUUGUCUGCUUGGUGAACACCAUCUUUUGUUCUUUGAAGCCAAGUGCUAUGGGGACAAAAAAAAUAAAGCAAAAUGUUUCCACCCUUAUAAGACUUUCUUGUUCAUAGUGAUAAGGCCGUAACUGUUGCUUUCAUUUUCUUCCUUCAGCUCAAGACAUCCUCGUCCAGGCAUGAAAUUGGUGCCUUGGUGUUUUUGUUUUCAUUUUCACAAAUAUUCUUCAGGAUAUUUCCUUCUCCAACUAGAAGGUCUGUUGAGGGCCAGGCAGGGCAAUCGCUGGGAUAUAGACCGAAAUCACUCAUGGUUUGAGUUUUGUCUCCCUCCAAGUUUCCAAACACCUUAAGCAUGUAGGGGACAAGGGAGAGCUUUCCCCUUGGCCUUCUGAAGGUUUGCUGAAAAAUCAACUCACAAAAAGCAGAUUAAUUGGAGAAAAUACAUAAACAUUUAUUAAAUGUGCAUACACAGGAGCAUUCAGAAUGAAGACCGACAGAUACAGGAGAACAGUGUCCAUUUUUAUGCUUAGGUUAACAAAGUAUGAACAGCUGUGUAGAAAUAUGAUUAGACAAAAAGGAUAUGACCUAAUGCUAGUGGACUAAGUGGGGUUACCCAGUGAGGCUGGUCUGUCUAGGUCCUUCUUGGCUUCUUUGUGCAGCUUUCCUUCCUUCUGGGUGUGGGGCAGGCCCUUCUCAAGAAUGGGGAGUCUUAUGAACUACAGUCAAACAAGGUAGGUCAGAUAAUUUAUUUUAGGGCAGUUUUUACUUUGAAAGGCAGAGGGAAAAUUAGAGCAAUACUUUUAGGUUUUAUGAAGGGCUUGUGGGCAAAGAGGUUCUAGUUUCUAUGUCCCACCUUGGGGAAAAGGGAUUUGUAGUUUCUUUGGCUAAAGCUAGCCUCAGGGGAGAAUGGGACUGAGAGACAAGAGGGAAGGAGAAGGUCAAAAAAACACUUGCUUCUGAGGCCUUCAUUUCGGGAUAUUGUUUUCCGAGCCCCAACAAGCACAAGAACAGUGGCUUCCAUUUUUCUUGUAUCCUCUCUAGCAUCUCUCUGUCUAUAUGGGCACACAAUGUGAGUCCUGAAAUAGUACAGCAGCGACUCCCCACUCUGAAUUCCACUGUGCUAUGUCUCUUCCCUCUGACUCUCAUCACUUUCUACCUUUUAAAGUUAUGUGUAUGUGCAUGUUUCACUUUUCCCUCUACACUGCAGAUUAUCUGAAGUAGAAUUUAUGCAUUCACAAAACCUACUACUUAGCAAUCAAUGUCUGUUGGACAGAUGAAUAACUAAAUAAAUAGAGGGAAGCACCUAAUCUUGGGAAUAAUAGAGAGAAAAAGUUAUUCCAAAAAGGAAAAGGAGGCGGAUGAUUAUCAGUGGCUCCUGAUUUCAAUACAAAAACCUAGCAUAUUCUUGGGGCACAUGUAUACUUAUUUGCAGCAACAAUAUCAGGGUCUAAUGGACAGAACCAAAAGAUAUAUGAGAGAAUCUAUGGAAUAUUCAUUUUGGCUGUCUUUGACUACAAAAGGCUUCUAAGAAAAGCCAUUCUGAUAAAUAAUAAUGAUAAUAAUAUCUAAUGUUUAUUGACCUCUUGCUAUGGGCCAGCCACUAUGCUAAGAGCUUAUGCAUGUUAUUUCAUUUAAUCUUCCCAAUAACCCCAUAAGAUAAAUGCUAUUUUUACCCUUUUAAAAUUAUAGCUUCAUAAGAGGUUAAAUAAAGUACUCAAGGUCUCAAGACAGGAAGUGGUAGAGCUGGGAUGCCAAUCCAGUUGAUACAAUGUCAGAGACUAAACUCGUGACCUCUGCUACAAAUUCUCAUUUAUAAAAUUUCCUUGCCAGAAGCUGCUAGAAGCUCCAGUCCUGUUUGCAAGGUUGUCUUUGACAAAAAUUAAGAAAAACUUUGUUGCAUAAUGUACACUGUUUCUUGUACAUCCAUCCAAGGGUAUCUAAUUAAAGAAAAAUGAUAAGACAUUUUGAUACAUUAUAAUGCACUGGGGAACAUCCCUGGUGAGGAUAAAAUACCAAAUAUUUUCUGUACAGU
rnacentral:lncRNA from 10 species